GUGAUUUAGCUCAGUGAUAGAGUGCUUGCCUUGCAUGCUUGAGGCUAGGGGUUCAAUCCCCAGUCCG
rnacentral:tRNA from 1 species